UACAGAGGUGGCAAGCGUUGUUCGGAAUUACUGGGCGUAAAGGGCGCGUAGGCGGUUCGUUAAGUCCUGUGUGAAAUCCCCCGGCUCAACUGGGGAACUGCACAGGAAACUAGCGGGCUUGAGUUCGGGAGAGGGAAGCGGAAUUCCGGGUGUAGCGGUGAAAUGCGUAGAUAUCCGGCGGAACACCGGUGGUGAAGGCGGUCUCUGGGCAUUAACUGACGCUGAGGAGCGAAAGCAUGGGGAGCGAACAGG
rnacentral:rRNA from 1 species